rnacentral:rRNA from 1 species
UACGUAGGGUGCAAGCGUUGUCCGGAAUUAUUGGGCGUAAAGAGCUCGUAGGCGGUCUGUUGCGUCGGCUGUGAAAACCCGGGGCUCAACUCCGGGCCUGCAGCCGAUACGGGCAGACUAGAGUUCGGCAGGGGAGACUGGAAUUCUUGGUGUAGCGGUGAAAUGCGUAGAUAUCAAGAGGAACACCUGCGGCGAAGGCGGGUUGCUGGGCCGACACUGACGCCGAGGCGCGAAAGCUAGGGGAGCGAACGGG